GUCUGCAGUGCCUGGUGAAGUACAGUACAACACAGCCUGUUCCAAAAUAUGGUUACCUUUGUUUGCUGUGUGAAAGGAAACUUUCUGAAAUGCUUGUCAUUAACCACAUGUUGAGCUACUCUCAUAUAGUUGCCUACCUCGUAAGUAUUGUAACAAACAUUCAGAAUUCAAAUUAAGACUUUCCUAAUGUGAAAUUCUAAACUGGCUUGUUGUGAUGUUUCACAGAAUGUUGCCCACCCUGGUUCCCUGCGCAAGGAUGAUCAGGAUAUGUCGCUGAUUGUAGAUCUAGCCCGGCAGGCAGAGGCAGUGAGUGCUGGAGCGUCUAUGCAGGAAGUGGACUUGGAUUUUGGAACAUUGAAUGAGCGCGACACAUUUAAGGCUGCUCUGCAUGCUUUGCAGUUGGUGGUUAAGAAGAAGGGCCUGAAAGAACUGAAGCUCUCCAUAGUUCCAGGGUCCAGGCUGGUGUCCAGUUUGAAGAAACCUUGCCAAAACAAUUCUUUGAAGUGUGUCGCUCAAGAAAGCAGCCCUACGUCACUAAACAUGAGGCAGAUCAACACUGAAGCCUCAUGCUCACAAACUUUCACACCCAUAACUGGUACAAAAGCUCCUGGCUUAAUAUCAGAAAACAUUGAGCCUCUGAAAACCACAUGCGGUUCAGCCUCAACAAACAUUCAGAGUGCAGAACCUUUGGUUGUGUCAACAUCCUCACAACUUCCUGUAGUGUCAUUGAACACCCAGCAGUCUGGCUUGCUGGAAAUGAACACAGAACCAGUCAGCCCAGCAAUGCCUCCUUACCACAACCCAGUAGAGGCCAAAGAGUUCUGCUCAAUGUCAAAGCCUCUUCAAACUCAAAAUGUGAGCCUUUCUCAACCGCAGAGCCCACUGGCACAAAAUUCUAGGGAACCUGAGGAAACAUUGCAAAAACAAACACAGUCUUCCACUUGCUCGAAGAACAAGGCACAAGAUGUACCUCAGAGUCCAGCUUCUAGCAAUGUUCUGUGGAACUACCUACAGACCACAGUAAGAGAACCAGUAAUAGGUUUGAGUUCUGUUGUUGAGUGUCACACUGAUGGGAAGCCACCAUAUUACCUGUGUAUUUCAUGCACAGAGAGAGUUAAAGAGGACUCCAUAAUUGAACACCUGACCAAUCGUGAACAUCAAAAAAUGUAUCUGAGUUCUAUAAAAUACACUCCUCUGCUGGCCAAAAAAAAAUUGAAGACAAAAUGGUUGAAAUUCAGUGCCGUUAUGUUGGAGAAGAGAGAUGGAUAUGGAGAAGCACAGGUGUUUUUUUUUUUUUUUACAUUGCUUCCUUUUUUUGCUGUUCUUCAGCUCCUCUGCCAGCUUAUUAACGGUCUGACAUUUCAAGCAAAAACUUGAAAGUCUGACUUAUAUGCCGUCUU
rnacentral:lncRNA from 1 species